CUUUCGCCGAUGAUGGUGUUAAAUAUACUUUGAGUGAAUUCAUCAUUAAGAAAAAAACUUAUACAGCUGAGGCUU